rnacentral:rRNA from 1 species
AAUCAACGCUGGCGGCGUGCCUCAGACAUGCAAGUCGAACGCGAAAGUUUCCUUCGGGAGAUGAGUAGAGUGGCGCACGGGUGAGUAACACGUGAGUAAUUUACCUUCGGGUGGGGAAGUACUAACCGGAAACGGUGUUAUACCGCAUAAUGCAGCGGCAUCAAUGAUGACAGUUGUUAAAGCGGGGGAGUUGGAGCAAUCCGACCUCGCGCCUGAAGAGAAGCUCGCGGCAGAUUAGCUAGUUGGUAAGGU